GAUGGGUGCAGUGGUGCACACCUGUAAUCCCAAUAUCUUGGGAGGCUGAGGCAGGAGGAUCUCAAGUUCAAAGCCAGCCUCAGCAACAGUGAGGCACUAAACAACUCAGUGAGACCCUGUCUCUA
rnacentral:sRNA from 1 species